rnacentral:misc_RNA from 1 species
GCCGAUGUAUCCAAGCAGACACCUGUCGUCUUCUUCUCCGAAAACCUCUCUAUCUCUGCUAGAAAUAACCCGAAAUUGCCUUAAUCAGAUCACAUCGUUGACCCGAUUUUGACCCAACUCAGCUCCGACAAUGAACGACGCCGAUGUAUCCAAGCAGAUCCAGCAAAUGGUCCGAUUCAUCCGUCAGGAAGCGGAAGAAAAAGCUAAUGAGAUUUCCGUUUCUGCUGAAGAAGAAUUCAACAUCGAGAAGUUGCAGCUAGUGGAAGCA